CGAACCGGGGGAACUGAAACAUCUAAGUACCCCGAGGAAAAGAAAUCAACCGAGAUUCCCCCAGUAGCGGCGAGCGAACGGGGAGCAGCCCAGAGCCUGAAUCAGUAUGUGUGUUAGUGGAAGCGUCUGGAAAGGCGCGCGAUACAGGGUGACAGCCCCGUACACAAAAAUGCACAUGCUGUGAGCUCGAUGAGUAGGGCGGGACACGUGGUAUCCUGUCUGAAUAUGGGGGGACCAUCCUCCAAGGCUAAAUACUCCUGACUGACCGAUAGUGAACCAGUACCGUGAGGGAAAGGCGAAAAGAACCCCGGCGAGGGGAGUGAAAAAGAACCUGAAACCGUGUACGUACAAGCAGUGGGAGCACGCUUAGGCGUGUGACUGCGUACCUUUUGUAUAAUGGGUCAGCGACUUAUAUUCUGUAGCAAGGUUAACCGAAUAGGGGAGCCGAAGGGAAACCGAGUCUUAACUGGGCGUUAAGUUGCAGGGUAUAGACCCGAAACCCGGUGAUCUAGCCAUGGGCAGGUUGAAGGUUGGGUAACACUAACUGGAGGACCGAACCGACUAAUGUUGAAAAAUUAGCGGAUGACUUGUGGCUGGGGGUGAAAGGCCAAUCAAACCGGGAGAUAGCUGGUUCUCCCCGAAAGCUAUUUAGGUAGCGCCUCGUGAAUUCAUCUCCGGGGGUAGAGCACU
rnacentral:rRNA from 1 species